GGUGGGGGGACGGGCAGAGGGAGAGGGAGAUAAUCUUACCAUGCUCCAUGCCCAGCCCCAAGCCCAACUUGGGGCUCAGUCCCACAACCCUGAGAUAGUGACCUGAGGAAAUAUUUCUUAUAUUGAUGCAUAUAUACUAUAUCUCUUAAAUUUGCCUGGAGUGAGAUUCUGCAGCACAGGUUUUACUCAUCUGCGGCAAUGGCACACACUGUUCUGUACUUAUAUAAAGACAUCUUUUCUUCUGGAUCCUCUUAAGUUCAGUAGGAGUUCCUCGGGCACAUCAUAUGUUAUUCAUCAUUUCCAAACUUACUAAAGCAUCACUCAGCUUUAUCCUAUGUCUGAGAGUCUCCUUCCUAGAGAUGUCCUUGCCUGUCCUCCCAACUGCAAAACGGUAUCUGUAAGAGAAGGAGACAACUGGGAACUUGGAGACACGGGGUUUAGCUCGCUCCUGGAGACUUGUUUGCAGCUGGACAUUCUAAAUGCCAAUAAGACUACUGCAGGGAAUGAAGACAACACGCAGCAGAGAGAAGAUCUGAAAAGAAGUAGGAGCCUCUUCCCUUCCCUCCAUGCAGUCCAAGGAGCCUGUGCUGCCUGCCGCCCACCCCGCCCUGAGCAUCUGGUGAUGGUCCACCACCUGUGCUUCCAGCCAGUGAUGCGACUGAUGUCCUUCUAGCUGAGCCUCACGUCUCCUGAGACACACUCAGAACUGACCAAACAGAUCACACAUGUGUGUGCAGCUCCUUCUGCCUGGGUUCCACUUAGGAAGGUCUCAGCGGGGGCACCUGCAUGGCCAUGCUGUUAGGCUCACCACUCUCCUCUCGGUGACUCCCCCAAGUUUCUAUCAUCCACCCUGAACAUUGUGAAAUGCUUGGUGGAGGAAAGCAAACAAGGGACGGAAGUUAACACCCUCUACUUUACAUUCAGUUACCAUUCCCCCUCACCACGUGUUCAUAGGAGAAGACUUGGAAUCCUUGCAACGUCUGCAUUUCUGAUGCCACCUCAGCGUCAAAAGCCAGCCUUGUGUUUACGCUGUGGUUUUGUUCCUGAACGCAGAGGGGGUUAAUGAUGGGGUAUACCAGUUGUCUAGUUUAAUACAACAAUAGUUGACUGUCAAGCUUAUGCUAAGACAAAUUUAUGUAAUUUCCAUUUAUCUGACGUCUUUUUCUACCCAGAAAAGUCUUAGCUGUUUAUAUGCAACCAAUAUAGGAGUGUAUUUGCUGACUUUUUGUUUGUUUUUAUUUUGGCUUACACAAACACAGUUUAUUGACAGAAAGCGAUAAUUGAGGAGUUGGGUUCACAGACAGUUGACGUCCCAUCAAUGCUACAGGUGC
rnacentral:lncRNA from 12 species